rnacentral:lncRNA from 1 species
AUAAUAUAAUAGCUUGUUAGGAAAAGAAUAAACAAACAAAAAGAGGUUGGAGAGUGUUUUUUUGUUUUUGGCUAUAGCUUUGAUUUGUCUUAAUGUUUUAUGUCUCGUUGAACAGGUGAAGUUACUCUUAACUUCAUUCUUUGGUUGACUUGGUAUUCGUCCUUUGAAGUGCUUGCCUCCGGUGGUCGUUUUCUCCUUUGCCGUCGAAGGGCUCUCCUCCUCCAUGUUUCUCCAUUUUCCUUUGCUUCAUUUUUUCUCCUUAGCCGCUCUCCGAUAUGUGGUUGUCCCUGGAGCUCGAACGUCCGCCGGCGGAGGAGCCUAGGCCGAUUCCGGCGGUCGUUUCGUUCCUCUGGUGACACUGGGAGGCUGGUGUGCAAUGGCGGGAGGUUGGAGUCGGUUCUUUGGGUAGGGUUUAGUCCGAAGCCAUUUUUCCUUUCUUAGAUCUAUGGCGAAACUCUGUGAUUGACGGCGCGUGGUUACGGUGGAGGGCUCCUCCGUCCCGGAUCUAUUCUUUCUUCUGGCGGUUCUUAUCUAUUGUUGUCCUGGUUGAGUGGCUUGACGGCGCGUCUUUCUCCUUUGUGUGAGGCGUCUCGGCGAGGUCUCACCUCUAUGGUGCAUCUGAGGUCUUCCGGGUUCGUCGUGUGUCGUCUCUGGCAGCUUCUCGUUUGAUGUGUGCGGCCACGACUAGGCUGUCGAUUCAGAGUCGUCUAUGGCUUCGAUUCAAUUUGUGCUCGUGGUGCUUCCGUCUUGUUCUCCUCUAGCCUCGGCGCUCCCUCCGGUUCUAUGGGUCCUUCUCGGCUGUUCUUCAGAUGUUAGUUUAUGUUCCGUUUGCAAGUCGGUCAGCGUCUUGGUUCUUACUUCUAUUCAAAGAUAUUGGGCAUUGUAUCAGAGGUCUCCAGUUCGCGUAACUGCUGAGACAAAACUAAUAUUACAUGCUAUAGUUUCGAGUAUGGGGGUUUGCCUCUGAACCUCCUAGUAUUCAAAANNNN